UUAUAUUUCAACUAUCUCUAGAUUUACAAAGAAGCAAUUAUUUCUUCAUUGACAUCUACAGGGACUUUGUAAAUGUUAUUCCUCUUUCUCUUUAGUUCUCCACACACAUCCCCUGAAUUAUCCAUAAGAACUCCCUGCAUACAUAGAGGAGAGGUUACUUAGGAGACCUUCGAUGUUUGUUGCUUGAUUUCAACGAGAAAAUCAGGCGAAGUUUAGCGUUUUUCGAGCGCUAUUUGUGCGGAUUUCAAUGGAGAACGGGCUUGAAAUUUGAUCGUUACAUAUUGAUAAACACAAAGCGAGAGUGAAUUUAGGUUUCCGAUUUAGUUUGCUUUGAAUAUCUUCUUUUGUAUUGUAUGUAUGGCUGUAAAACUUUGGGGAUUUGUAGUCGAACACAUGAACUUUGCUUUGGAGUUGUCUCAGCAGCUGAGGUGAAGUAAAAGCUGAAAUACAGGCAUUUUUGCAGGCGUAUAUUCAAGAUGCUAGACCCGCACAUGUACCAUGCAAAGCUCUGUUGGAUCUGCUGCGUUACACAAGCAAACAACAGCGACUGUCUUCAAGUUUUUUAUUCCUGUUCUUUUAAAAACGAACAUUUAACGCUGUCUCUUGGCAUAAGGUGUAUUUAAGCCCUACUCAAUAAAUGAGCAUAAUGGAAGUUUCUAA